rnacentral:rRNA from 1 species
GACGAACGCUGGCGGCGUGCCUAAUACAUGCAAGUCGAGCGCAGGAAGCUGACGGAACUCUUCGGAGAGAAGGCAGUGGAAUGAGCGGCGGACGGGUGAGUAACACGUAAGGAACCUGCCUCAAGGAUUGGGAUAACUCCGAGAAAUCGGAGCUAAUACCGGAUAGUUCAACGGACCGCAUGGUCCGCUGAUGAAAGGCGCUUCGGCGUCACCUUGAGAUGGCCUUGCGGUGCAUUAGCUAGUUGGUGGGGUAACGGCCCACCAAGGCGACGAUGCAUAGCCGAACUGAGAGGGUGAUCGGCCACACUGGGACUGAGACACGGCCCAGACUCCUACGGGAGGCAGCAGUAGGGAAUCUUCCACAAUGGACGAAAGUCUGAUGGAGCAACGCCGCGUGAGUGAUGAAGGUUUUCGGAUCGUAAAACUCUGUUGUAAGGGAAGAACACGUACGAGAGGGAAUGCUCGUACCUUGACGGUACCUUACGAGAAAGCCACGGCUAACUACGUGCCAGCAGCCGCCGUAC